CAGUGGUACCUUGGGUUAAAUACUUAAUUCAUUCCGGAGGUCUGUUCUUAACCUGAAACUGUUCUUAACCUGAAGCACCACUUUAGCUAAUGGGGCCUCCUGCUGCCGCCGCGCCGCCAAAGCACGAUUCCUGUUCUUAUCCUGAAGCAAAGUUCUUAACCUGAAGCACUAUUUCUGGGUUAGUGGAGUCUGUAACCUGAAGCGUGUAACCCAAGGUACCACUGUAUUCACCUCAUGGUACUUUCAGCAGCAGGCAAGCCAGAAUGCAUCCAAAUGAGACUUUUGGUUUUGGGCUUGGCUACCAAAUGGUGGUAAUCAGAACAAUCCAAAGUUUGGUGAUGUGUCAUAGCGAAUACCAAUACUCUGGGACUUCCAGCAGGCCUGCUAGGAGGCAGCAGCGGCAGCAGCAGCCUGGCAAUGGCAGAAUCAACGAUCGGGGGGGGGGGGGGCAGUGGCAGCCUGGCAGUGGCACAAUAAUCAGCAGCCUGUGAAGCCUCACUGUGGUAUUGGACAGUGGCAGCAGAAGCGGUGGCAGCCUGCGAGGACUUGUUGCGGUGGCUGCAGUAGUGGUGACCUGCAAGACCUUGUGGCAGAGGCAAAAGCGACAAUGGCCUGCAAGGCCUUCAGUAUUGUGAGGCCUUGCAGUUGUGGUAGAAGAUGGCAGAAGCAGAGGUGGUCUGCAAGACCUCAUUAAGGCAGGCUGCCACAGCUUCUGCCAUCGCCUACCACUACUGCCAGGAGAGCUUGCAGGCCACCGCCACUUCUUACCACCAUGGCGAGGCCUUGCAAGCCCCACUGCUGGUCUUGCCAUGAGGCCUCACAGGCUGCCACUCUUAUUGGUGCAAUGCAUUGCCGCUGCAAGACCUUGCAAGAUGCCACUGCUACUUCUGCCCUCUCCCGUUGUCGCCAUGAGGGCUUGCAGACUACUACUGAUUGUGCCGCCACUGUGAGGCCUUGCAGGUUGUCACCACUAUUGCUGACAUGUACUGCGGUCAUGGCAAGCUGUUUCUGUCUCCUAGCAGGCCUGCUGGCAGUCCCAGAUUUUUUGUAUUCACUAUGACUCAUCACCGUACUUUGGAGUGUCCUGAGUGCCAUCAUUUGGUAGCCAAGCCCAAAACCAAAAGUCUCAUUUGGAUGUAUUUUGGCUUGCCUGCUGCUGAAACUGUAUGUGUGAUGAUCGAAAAUAUUGCCAUUUAUCUGUUUUAGUCCCCUAAGUAGUAGCAGUUGCCAGGACAUUGAUAACACGUGUUUAGCUGGUGAGCUAGCGUGAUGUUUAGUUGGUGAGUUAUUGCCUAGCCCUUACACACAUUGUGAUUCGCAAUCUAUUGCCAGCUCAAAUAUGGAACAACACAAUGAACUUCAAACUGGUUUUGGCUGAUAUAUCAACAUAUUGCCCAGCCUAGUGUACAUCCAGAUUAUUAGGUUUUGUUUUAAUUUUGCUUUAAAAGUGUUACUGUAAAACCACCUUAAGUUUGUUCUAAGGUUGGAAACAUAGUUUGCACACUUUGUGAUCUUCACUCAGGCCUUUCUCUGUACAGCAGCCUUCCCCAGCCCAGUGUCUUCCAGAUGUUUUGGAUUACAUCUCCUCCAGCAGCUGGUACUGAUGGGAAGCUGUUGUCCAAAACACCUGCAGGCUGUUAAGACAUCCUCUCUACAGGGAACUCUUCUACAGCUGCCUCAGUCUGCCCUAGUUUCCUGCCCGCCUUGGGGAUUAACAUUCACAGAGGGGUCUAAGUGGGUAGGCUGUCCCUGGGCUAUUUCCUAUCUAAUUAUUCCUGCUCCCAGAAGACUCGUGUGAGCCAUGGUUAUGCAAACAGUUUAGUAAAUGCACCUCUGUACAAAUCUUCAUAAAGAA